CUGCAACGGGUCGCCGGGGUGCUGGUGCACGUCUGUGGACUGACCCUGUGCAGGAAAAGGUACAUUGAAAAGAGUCACACAGAAGGGUCGGCACUUUUUUACUUGAAUAUGAGGAAUAUUUGGUGAAUGGACCAUUAUUUAGCAUGAACAAUUUUUCCAAAUAUAACUUGGUAUGAAGCUGAAAGUCUGGUUCUAAGACAAGGACACAAACCACUUGAGUGCUACUGGAUUCUUGCUGGAUGUUUAAAGGUCAUCUCAAGCAAUACAAGCACAAACAAAAAUUCCAACUCUGACAUUUUAAGUGAGUUUG
rnacentral:lncRNA from 1 species